UCCUGCCUGGGGCCUGUGUACUGAGUGGUGCCUUACCUGUUAGUACUGGUGCUCAUAUUCCUCCCAUCCCUCCUUCCACCACCACCAAAUCGGCACGUUGUCUCAGAGCCUCUGGCACCCUUCAACUCCUGAGUCCUGUCUUCAUGAAGAAAGAACCAAAUCCUGGGGAGAGAACCCUUCAGAGGAGCCCAUAGACUAUAUUUGGAUGGAUUUUAGGGGACCACUAGCUCACAGACCCCAAUUGUGCAUCAUUUCGUUGUAUGCGUAGGUGAGGAACAAGCUGCAGUAACGGAUGCACGACAGACGACUGAGAGACACGAACACACACACAUGAUGAGCACAAAAGCUUCUCAGCAUUGAGCAUAAAGACGGUUUCCUACUUGUUUGGUUUUGGUUUUGCUUUUACCCACUGUACUUGCUCCAGACCAAAAAGGAACGAGAAAGGUGUUAGGUAAUACAGCCCUUGGAGAGCACUUCAAAGAACCUGGAGAGUAAGCUAAGACACUGAAUGAAAUAUGGUAGCUCUAUGCUACAUUGAAGAACACUGUUCUUAGGGCAUCAGCUCCAUCACCAGCUGCCAGCAAGGAGACCAUCCUGAGAACCUGCAAUUCUCAGAGUCUGCCUGCUUCCAGACUUCACGCAAAAAUGAUUUGGACGGAGGAAACCUACUCUGUGAGAAUCAGUUUUCCACUAUGAAAAUGUACAUCUGGAAGAUUCUCCUGUACACACAUCUGGUCAUCUCCUUUACAAAAUAUAUAUUUUGUUUAAAAGUGAACAUACAGAACAAGACAACAGGGGACACAAAAGGUGACAAAUGUGUCAUCGAGCGUGAGAAACGUGACUAAGAUACAUUUUCUCAAAAUGUAAAGAUGCCAAGUGGAAGAAAAUGAAAGUACAUCCGAGACAUGUAGUUACCUGUAACAGUUUCAUUUUAAGGGCAUGGCUUGAAUUGAACCUUCUCACAAAUAUUAAAUUCAUUUUUCAAAUGGA